CCACUGUUCGGCAUAAAGAAAAAUCUACCAAGAAGAGAAUCACGGCAAACUUCAAAGUUGGUGAAAAAUCGAAUAUUUUUGCUGUAUAAAGUAGUUGAAAUCGAUUAAAAGCUAGUGCAGGUUGUAAAACUAAGUCGAGUGCAUAGUUUGCAAAUAUUUUCAGGCGUUGAUCGUUCCAAAUCGGACGGAAAUCGACGUUUUUCACUACGCGUACCUUCGACCAAGAACAAUAACACCAGUAAGAGCGAGAAGAAGAAGCCAUGGUGGACGUCGCGAGACAGCUGCUGGACGAGCUGAUGGGAAGGAACCGCAACCUGGAUCCCUCCAUGAAAGGCAAGGCAUUGAACUGGGAGGAUGAAGAGUUCUGCACGUUUUUCAUGGUCAAGUUCUGCCCGCACGACCUGUUCGUCAACACGCGGGCGGACCUCGGCCAGUGCGGCAAGCUCCACGACGAGGAGGCCAAGCGGCUGUUCGAGCAGUCCAAACCGACCCGCAAGAAGAUCCAGUACGAGGACGACUUUCUGCGCUUCUGCAGCAACAUGAUCAACGAGGUGGACCGCAAGAUCAUGAAGGGCAAGCAGCGGCUGCUGCUGAUGAACAGCAAGCUGGAGGGCCGGCCCGUGUCCAAGCAGCAGGAGCAGGUCAAUACGAUGACCGAGAAGAUCAACAAGCUGCUGCGCGAAGCCGAGGAGGCCGGAAUCCGGGGGGACGUCGACCAGGCCCAGAGCCUGAUGCAGAUGAGCGACCAGCUGAAGGAGGAAAAGGACGAGCUGGUGAAGCAGGCGGAAACGAACGGCUGGUCUGUGACGGCGGAAAUUGCCGCCGCGCAGGAGAAGCAGAUGGAGGUGUGCGAGGUUUGCGGGGCGUUUUUGAUUGUGGGCGAUGCCCAGCAACGAAUCGAUGACCAUUUGACGGGCAAGCAGCAUUUGGGCUACUCGAAAUUGAGACAGGCCGUCGAAGAGAUGGAAGCCAAACGGCACAGCCCGGUCAAAGUGGAGGAACGUCGACGGGAUGAUGAUCGGAAGGAUCGUAGGGAUAGACGGCGUGAUGAACCGCGAUCGAGGGAACGGGACGACCGGUUCCACCGCGGCGGUGGCGGUGGCUUUGGAGACGAUUAUAGACGACGCGAUAACCGACGAGACCACCGGGAUCGCGAUUACGAGCGGUACGGACGGGGACGCGGGGGCGGCCAUGGAAGUGGUGGACACGAAGGCCGCGAACGCGAUCGUCAUCACAAGCGUUCUGAACGCCACCGCAGCAGAAGCCGCAGUCACUAAGAGACCUGCCUCGAUGAACUUCAAGCCAUACUCCUGUUUUCGCUUCCCGUUUUGUCGUGCCGCCGAGUGUGCGUUGUGUUGCAUCGUUUCCCGCUAGUUCGUUCUAUUGAGAGGUAUCCCAAGCUACGCAAUUAAAAAUCUAAACAUUAUUCCGCCCUUGCCCAAGGUAAGUCGUCCCAUUCCGUGCCAAGUUUCUAACCGAUUUCGUUCUUUAUUUUCUUUCAUUGUCGAAUGUGUCUUACCGUGUGUGUGUUUGUGUGUGAGAGCGCGUAAAAUCGGGUAAGACGCGACCAGAACAAACAGAAUCAUUCACACACAGGCACAUUACUUCUAACAUAAAUGCGGAGGGUUAGUGUCUUUGGAUGCCGAGCCGGAAAAUCCGUUCGCCACUGUCCUUGUAGGGAAGUCGCGGGGAUCGUCCCACAAACAGUUGUUUAGUUUUGACCGAGCUCGCGGGGACAUUUUCCGUUGAUUUUGGGAAGUUGACAAGGUAUUUUCGAUAUCUUAAAGCUUCUCUGCCGUAGAAAUACACCGUGUUAUUUAUAGAUUUCCACUUGAUUCAAUCAGGAUAAGUUGAUGCGUCCAGAGUGCGAGAUUGAAGGAUUUCAAGUUAAAAGAGGUACAUUUUAAAGCGUAAAACUUUUUCAAACACUUAUACUUAGGGACAAAUUGGAACAAGUCGGCUGAUCGGCUGCGUUGCAGAACGUCAGUAGAGAUCAACGAGCACACACUAUCUAGCAGGUAUUCCAAAUUUGAUUGUGGCCGAUUGUGCCGGUUUGGGGUGGGGUGAUGAUUUCGCGAGACUGCGAAUCGUCCCCCCUUUCUUGGGUUGUUGUCCGUAGGUUUCACCUUGUUUGUGUCGGAAUCGGGCCCGGAAGAGAGAUAAAUUGCUGCGCAGAAUUGGUUGAACGAUGCACGGAGGUAAUUGCUUCUUGAUCGUACCCUAAAUCCAACUUUCAUUCAGGAUGAAAUGGCAGAGAGAAAGUGCUUCUUUGUUGGCAGGCACGAAUUGAACAAGAUUUAUUGCUGAUUCAAUCAUUGAGAGGUAAAUUAACAUUACACAAAGCUGUAACUUGCUGUUCAACCGUGUUCGCGCCGUCGUACCCGCCGCAACUUGUCUGAUCACCAGACACGGUCUCGAGUUGACCGCAAACUUCUGCUUAGCCCUCCCCCUGUGUGUACGCAAACGAAAAAAGGUAUUUGACAAACAUACUUUAAGACCUAAUCUUUAGCAGCGGUAAAACGUGAAAAAUUCGCGUCGUAACUUAGUUCGUCACAUAGAAAAAAAGAAAACACUUCGCCAAAGACACUUCAUUAUGUACGGUAAACUCUUCUAUCAAGGUAUUUAUUAUGUACUAAAAGCAACAGACAGUAAAUCAUAUCGUGUAAUGCUUAUAUGAAGUAAACUUUGGUCGAUCAAUUGAGAACUACAAAAUGUAAAGUAAGAAUUUAAAUCAGCAGCAAUGUUCUCAAUUUAUUCAACCAAAGCUUAUUAAACUCUAGAAAAAUCUACAAUCACGUACCAAAACCUUAAAAUUAUCAUGGAAAUCUUUUUCUUUCUCAUUUCAUUCGUUUCAGAAACUGUUCCAAAAAUCCACAAUUUCGGCGAUUGGCGCAAUCACCCAUGUAGGCGUUUCUUAUCACAUUUGAUAAUCAUAUGAAUUAAACAAAAACAAACUAGUUUAAAAAAGCUACUUAUUCAACGAUCUGAGCAAAACUAUUCUGCACCACCACCACCAUAUCGAGCGACGUUUAAUUUGCAGGUACCGUACGUUUCCUUUCUUUCUGUUUCACUUUACCAUAAAAUAUCAUGUGUAAAAAUAGUAUUGUAAGCCCCAAGAAAAAAUACAGUUGAAAUAUCCUCCAAAUGUCUCUGUCCACCCAUCAUCGGACGGGAAGAAGAAGGUAUCUCCCUAUUGGUAUCCAAUAAAAGCAACUUCUCACCGUUCAAUCCCUGUGUAACGCUUGAUAUCUUCUCGAUUUUGCCCGCUUUUAAAUAUAUUUGAUGUUUAGUUUACUUUUCGUCCCUUCCCCAACAAUAAAAAAAAAACGAGCAUAACGGGAUUAAAAUUCAGUGUGAAAAAAACUCUAGUUUUAAACAGUUGCAAACGGAUUAAAUAAACCAAAAUCAUACAGCAAAAAAAAGUAGUGAAGCAAGUGACACUAAGUUACGCGUAGCUUUUAGAUGGCGUUGUGCGCCGCCAGCUCGUCAUCGCGACAUUUGGUGGGCGUCCAACGCCGCAUCCAGUUUCAUCUGUUUCAAUAAAAGUACAAUCGUAUAAAGAGAA
rnacentral:misc_RNA from 1 species